rnacentral:rRNA from 1 species
UACGUAGGGGGCAAGCGUUGUCCGGAAUCAUUGGGCGUAAAGCGCGUGUAGGCGGUCCGGUAAGUCCGCUGUGAAAGUCGGGGGCUCAACCCUCGGAUGCCGGUGGAUACUGUCGGGCUUGAGUACGGAAGAGGCGAGUGGAAUUCCUGGUGUAGCGGUGAAAUGCGUAGAUAUCUGCAGGAACACCCGUGGCGAAAGCGGCGCGCUGGACCACUACUGACGCUGAGGAACGAAAGCUAGGGGAGCAAACAGG